CCAGGUCGAACCGGAUCGAUCCCCUUGGUGCAAAACAAUGAGUGCCUUUAUUCUCCAGUCCUAGCAACAGAUAUACAAUGCAAGGAAGCAAAAGGAGCUGAGAAGCUGUUCGGAGACCUCGGCUGUUUCUGUUGGAAUAAUGUGGAAUCUAAUGUCGUACGACAAGCCGGUUUUAUCUGGCCUGCAUUAAAACAAGACGCUCGGAGCCAUACAGAAGAAAAAAUGCAAAUCUGUGCUAAUUGCUAAAGAGAAAAGGAGACGAGGGCCAGUUAAUCAAGAAAGCUGCUUAAAGCAAUGCCAAAAUAACUCCACACCUCCUGACCUGAACAAACUGAGCACGCCACUAUGCAACUGGCUUUCCACAGAAACUCAGCUGGGCUUUAAGGAUUGCUCUUAAGCCUGACAUGUUUGGCAGCAAUACAACUUAAAUGUGACAACACUCAUUUUAGAGAUCUGCUUGCAUUCAUAUACGGAGGGUGGUGCGGACGGACCAGUACAUCACUGGGGCCGAGCUCCCAGCCAUCGAAGACAUCUAUGCCAGGCAGUGUCUGAGGAAGGCCCCAAAAAUUGGAGAAGGGAAGUCCCACAGGGAGACAUUUCUGAGUUGUCUGAAGAACGCUGCACAUCUCUGGUUCUCCGGCUGACCUCGAUCAAGACACCCAUGUCGACUGGAUUCCUACUGUGAAGAUGAGCAAUGCUGCAUUAGUUUCUCCUUCACUAUAUUUUCCUUUUUCAGAUAUGAAAGGAGACAUCCCUCAGUUAUACAAGAUGGUUGACAUAUGCUGUGCUUUGGUCAAUCUGAAUCAUUAUGUUGUGCCAUUUGAGUAGAGAGCACUUUCACCUUGUUGUCAUGACAAAGGUACCCCCUUAAAUCAUAUGAAUAUAUAAAAUGUAAUUUGGAAAAACAUGUCAAAUCCUGUUGUUUAUUGUAAACAGACUAUACUUCAGUAAUAGGCUAUAUUGUUGUAUGGGUGAAAUUAAAAGUGUUUUGUGUGUCAUCUCUGCUUUGCCUUGCCCCAUUGAAUAAAAUGUAU